rnacentral:rRNA from 1 species
AGAGUUUGAUCAUGGCUCAGGAUGAACGCUAGCUACAGGCUUAACACAUGCAAGUCGAGGGGAAACGACAUCGAAAGCUUGCUUUUGAUGGGCGUCGACCGGCGCACGGGUGAGUAACGCGUAUCCAACCUGCCCACCACUUGGGGAUAACCUUGCGAAAGUAAGACUAAUACCCAAUGACGUCUCUGGAAGACAUCUGAAAGAGAUUAAAGAUUUAUCGGUGAUGGAUGGGGAUGCGUCUGAUUAGCUUGUUGGCGGGGUAACGGCCGCCAAGGCUACGAUCAGUAGGGGUUCUGAGAGGAACGGUCCCCCANAUUGGAACUGAGACACGGUCCAAACUCCUACGGGAGCA